rnacentral:rRNA from 1 species
UACGUAGGGGCUAGCGUUGUCCGGAAUCAUUGGCGUAAAGAGCGUGUAGGCGGCCCGGUAAGUCCGCUGUGAAAGUCGGGGGCUCAACCCUCGAAUGCCGGUGGAUACUGUCGGGCUAGAGUGCGGAAGAGGCGGAGUGGAAUUCCGUGGUGUAGCGGUGAAAGUGACGCAGAGUAUCAGGAGGAACACCAAUUGCGAAGGCAGCGUCGCUGGGACGUAACUGACGCUGAGACGCGAAAGCGUGGGGGAGCAAACAGG